GAUGCUCAGCAGCCCUGGGGUGGCGGCCGCUGUAGUCACUGCCCUGGAGGACGUGUUCCAGGCCCUGGGCUUUGAGAGCUGCGAGAGGAGGGAGGUCCCGGUCCAGGGCUUCCUCGAGGAACUGGCUUGGUUCCAGGAGCAGCUGGAUGCCCACGGGCGCCCUGUGGGGUGUGCCUUAGUGGCCUUGAUGCCCCCAGAGGGCAGCUGAGGCAGCCACAGCAGCUGGUCCGGGAGCUGAGCGGCUGCCGGGCCCUGCGGGGCUGCCCCAAAGUCUUCCUGCUGCUCUCAAGUGGUCCUGGGUCCUCCCUGGAGCCCGGAGCCUUCCUUGCUGGCCUGAGAGAGCUGUGUGGCCGCUCUCCUCACUGGUCCCUGGUGCAGCUGCUGACGAAGAAGUGGUCUCAGCCCCUCACCCUCAACUCGGGACCCCUGACAACCCACUCAGGAUCCCCGACACUCGACUCCUCCCAGCUCCAUGCCUUGGCCCAAGCAGUUCCCUCUGCCUGCUAUGCCUUCCUGUUGUCCCGGGAGCCCUGCACAGUCCUCUGCAGGCUGCCAGCGAUGCCCUUCCUUGCAU
rnacentral:lncRNA from 1 species